UACGAAGGGGGCUAGCGUUGCUCGGAAUCACUGGGCGUAAAGGGUGCGUAGGCGGGUCUUUAAGUCAGGGGUGAAAUCCUGGAGCUCAACUCCAGAACUGCCUUUGAUACUGAAGAUCUUGAGUCCGGGAGAGGUGAGUGGAACUCCGAGUGUAGAGGUGAAAUUCGUAGAUAUUCGCAAGAACACCAGUGGCGAAGGCGGCUCACUGGCCCGAUACUGACGCUGAGGCACGAAAGCGUGGGGAGCGAACAGG
rnacentral:rRNA from 1 species